rnacentral:rRNA from 1 species
GUAAGUCGGGAGUAGUGUCGGCGGGGAGUGGAGGGGUGCUAGGGAUGGUCGUACUCAAUGGGGGUAAAAGGCGGGUAGUAGGAUUAUUGAGGUGGGGCGGAAGGCGCGUGGCUUAAGUGAGGAAAGGCCGUGGAUAGAGGUCAGUGUCGAGGCCGGGAGAGGGGAUGGGAAGUCCGAGUGUAGAGGGUAAAUUCGUCGAUAUGCGGAAGACCACCGGUGGCGCAGGCGUCGCACUGCCCCUGUACUGACGCUGAGGUGCGAGAGCUUGUGGAGCAAACAGGAUUAGAUACCCCGGUAGUC